CGGGUGAGUAAUGUAUGGGGAUCUGCCUGAUGGCGGGGGAUAACUACUGGAAACGGUAGCUAAUACCGCAUAACGUCGCAAGACCAAAGAGGGGGACCUUGGGCCUCUUGCCAUCGGAUGUGCCCAGAUGGGAUUAGCUAGUAGGUGGGGUAACGGCUCACCUAGGCGACGAUCCCUAGCUGGUCUGAGAGGAUGACCAGCCACACUGGAACUGAGACACGGUCCAG
rnacentral:rRNA from 1 species